UACGUAGGGUGCGAGCGUUGCCCGGAUUUAUUGGGCGUAAAGGGCGCGUAGGCGGCUCGGCACGUCCGUUGUGAAAUCGCCCGGCUCAACUGGGCGGGGUCAGCGGAUGACGGUCGAGCUUGAGCAAGCUAGGGGGUAAUGGAAUUCCCGGUGUAGUGGUGGAAUGCGUAGAUAUCGGGAGGAACACCAGUGGCGAAGGCGGUUGACCUGGGGCUUUGCUGACGCUGAUGCGCGAAAGCGUGGGGAGCGAUCCGG
rnacentral:rRNA from 1 species